CAGUAACUAAUAGGAAAGCAGGACUUUGCUCUCACUGUUGCUUUGGGCUUCUACCACCCAGCAAAGCACAACUUCAAACCUGUUUUACUUACCAGAAAAGGAGCGCACACCCAAGUGAACGUAGACACUGCUGCAAGUUCCAGGUUGUUUCAGGCUGAGGUUGUGCAGACUGGUGCCUGCUUGGUUGCUAAUAAUCCUCUCAUUUUACUGACGUCUGUCCCAUUUCUGUGCAGAUGGAAGUUUAGUUCCCAUUCCAAGGGUUGAAGCUUCAGGAUCAAGUUGGCCAACACAAUGUGGUACUUCCCAACUUCAGGGCACCGGGCACGCUGUAGGGGCUGUAUCCAAGGGCCAGUAAUAUGUAUCAGCACACACGCAAGGACCUUGAAGGAUAUGCGCUUUUUUAGACCUGACCAACUUAUUCUCAGGCAGCCCAUUGACAUGACAGCAUAAGACUUGGAAAUUAAAUUCAGGUGAAUUGUAUGCAUGGAUCCCAUCCCAAUACAAACAUUUCAUAGAGUUAAACCAUUUAAAAACAAAAAGCCAAUUUGGUACAAAUCUGAAAAUAAAACCAAAAAAUCCAAAUAUAUGGCACAGACUCUGAAGUAAAAGUCACUUACUGUUUU